GCCAGCAGGGCUGCCACCCACCAGAUGAGGCUGCCCAGGUCAGCUGCUCAAGUAAGACAUGUUCUAUGUCUACAGACAGUCAACAAUGAGUUCAGUUAAAUCACAUAAAUAAAUACAUGCUAUUUUUGUAAAAACAUAAUGAUAUGAAGCAAAAUCCAUUUGAGGGCAUUUGAGGACAUACAUCCCACACUUCUGGUUCUCAAUUUCAGUUUGGUUAUUACACACUGAGUUCCUCAUAUCCACAGGAAGGUCAUCAAGAAUCAAGUUCUGUGGGGGUCCAGUUAUUUACUCAAGGUAAUUGAAAGACCCCAGGAUCCAUACGUCUAUGAACUUUGUCUAUGGACUUCAAAAGCUUUUGACUUUGCUCUGCAGAGGAGAGAUGAAGGACAGCAAUUCUCAGGCUGAGAGGCACUACAUACCUUAUCCCCCACAUUGCUCAGGAACUAGGACUGCAUUCCCGUUGGCAUCACAAACAAGCUGAAUUACUGCAUAAUACCCAGCAGAAGCAUGGUUCCAUAAUGAAGACAAAACAGCAGCAGAUAGGUACUAACAGAACAUUUUUAAUAGUACCAUGCCAACCCUGCCUUCAGCCCACACCCGGGGGACACUUCUGAGGCAAGCUGCACUGGACAAAGCCCCUAAGACUGGCUAAGGGGCAGGGAGAGUCCUGGAAUCAGCUGAAGAAGCGCUAACACCACACCUGUGUGUGGUUCCCACUGAACGACUGGAGCAACGCCAGGCCAGGCAGGGCCACUGGGUGGGUUGGAGCCGCUGCCAUGAUGAGCAGCAGAAGAGGGUGGGGCCAAGCCAAGGGCAGCGCCACCAUUGGUCAGGGACCAUUCUGAACCCUGUGACAUCACAAAGACACUGCAAAGCUGUGGGCAGGGGGGCAGAGCCAGUCACUCCCUGGCUGUUAGGCCAGGUGGUCAGUAGCUGUUGGGCCUUGUGCUGGUGGUGGGUAGCAUUUGGUGAGCAGCAGAAUUUAUGGCGUGCAUUGGGGGAAACUCAGGGUCUUGGCUGUUGGCCGCUUUCGUCUGCCUGGCUUAUCGCGGGAAUGCCACUUGCAUUCAUCUGCCUGACUCGCUGCGAGUCUGCUGCCUGCUUUCGUCUUCCAAGCUUGCUGCCGGAGCACCACCAUUGCCCCGCGAUGGUCUGCCAGGUUCAUCAUGGGAGCGCCAACCUCAAGUCUGCCGGGCUCGUCGUGGGAGCGCCGCCGUUAAGACUGACGGGAUCAUCAUGGGAGUGCUGCCAUCGGCCCGAUACUGUCAGCGGGGCUCGCUGUGGGAGUGCCACAAGUCGACAGCCUGGCUCGACGCGGGAGCGCCACAUGUCGACAACCCAGCUCGGCGCCGGAGCGUCACCUUCGGCCUCCUUCGGUCUGCCCGGCUCAUCGAGGGAGCGACACAUGUCGACAGCCCAGCUCGUCACUUUUUGACGCGCCAUGUCGUCAGCCCGGCUCGUCACGGGAGCGCCCCAUGUCGCCAGCCUGGCUCAUCGCGGGAGCAUCGCCUUUGGCCUCCUUUUGUCUGA
rnacentral:lncRNA from 1 species